UACGAAGGGGGCUAACGUUGUUCGGAAUUACUGGGCGUAAAGGGCGCGUAGGCGGUGUGUCAAGUCAGGCGUGAAAGCCCCGGGCUCAACCUGGGAACCGCGCUUGAGACUGGCACGCUCGAGUUCGGGAGAGGAUGGUGGAAUUCCCAGUGUAGAGGUGAAAUUCGUAGAUAUUGGGAAGAACACCGAUGGCGAAGGCAGCCAUCUGGACCGACACUGACGCUGAGGCGCGAAAGCGUGGGGAGCAAACAGG
rnacentral:rRNA from 1 species